rnacentral:rRNA from 1 species
AUUGAACGCUGGCGGCAGGCCUAACACAUGCAAGUCGAGCGGAUGAAGGGAGCUUGCUCCUGGAUUCAGCGGCGGACGGGUGAGUAAUGCCUAGGAAUCUGCCUGGUAGUGGGGGAUAACGUCCGGAAACGGGCGCUAAUACCGCAUGCGUCCUGAGGGAGAAAGUGGGGGAUCUUCGGACCUCACGCUAUCAGAUGAGCCUAGGUCGGAUUAGCUAGUUGGUGGGGUAAAGGCCUACCAAGGCGACGAUCCGUAACUGGUCUGAGAGGAUGAUCAGUCACACUGGAACUGAGACACGGUCCAGACUCCUACGGGAGGGAGCAGUGGGGAAUAUUGGACAAUGGGCGAAAGCCUGAUCCAGCCAGGCCGCGUGUGUGAAGAAGGUCUUCGGAUUGUAAAGCACUUUAAGUUGGGAGGAAGGGCAGUAAGUUAAUACCUUGCUGUUUUGACGUUACCAACAGAAUAAGCACCGGCUAACUUCGUG